rnacentral:misc_RNA from 1 species
GAAGUGCGAUAAGCAAUGCGAAUUGCAGAAUUCCGCGAAUCAUCAGAUCUUUGAACGCAAAUGGCGCCGGAGGGAUCUCCUUUAGGCAUGUCUGUUUCAGUGUCUGAGAGGUUUCACCUAAAUCUUAAUGUGAUUGACGAAGGAGGAUAAGAGGAGAAUACUCUUCUCUCUCUUUCCCCCUGAGUCUCUCAUGUAAGAUGCGCAAGUGGAUCUUUCGGUCCAACGAAGUGGUCACAUCACUCGCGUAUGAUUUCAUUGGAGUAAUAACCAAACCGAAUUAUCCGAGUACUUGUGAGUUUCUAACAUAACAAACUUCCAUUCCCUGCAUCUGUGACAGGCAAGAUCACCCGCUGAACUUAA